ACUGGGGGGGGGGGUCCUUCAGCCUGGAUUGCGAGAGGGUGCAGGCCAGGCCAAUGGACCCCAAUGGUGCACA
rnacentral:pre_miRNA from 1 species